GGACAUGGAUGAAGCUGGAAACCAUCCUUCUCAGCAAACUAUCACAAGGACAGAAAACUAAACACCACGUGCUCUUACUCAUAGAACUGCUACAGUGAUCUGAAAUAAAAAUAUAACAAUGGCAGUCUUUUGACUAAAAUCCCUUAUUGGUUCUCCAUCAAGUAUAAUUUGAAGUCAAAGAUGAAACUUUCACUCUGGAACUAGACUUACCAUCCUUCCACACACAACUAGAAAACUGGACUACAUAUGCAGCAACAAGUUUUGGAUAUUGAUCAAGCAGUUGGCACAGUUCUGAAAGAAGGAAAACAAAUAAGAUAAGCCUAUAGUCAGAUAAGUCCCAGCUUUCUGCUUUCAGGCACUUUCUGAACUACAGUGCAGGGAUGGUUAUCUCCAUCAGAGCACAGUGGUAUCAUUGAGUUAAGCAGACAGAGUCUAGUGUACAGGAAGAUUGAUGUAUCUGGAAUUUGUGAACAGAAUAACAAAGAGGUUAAAGUUGCAUGGAGAAAGAAUGUCAAAAAUCUGUAUAGGAAUCCCAUAGAGUUUGUUGCUAAAUACUAAGCUGUGCAUAUGUCAAAGAAACUCCCCGAGGCCAGGCAAAAAAACUGCUAGAAAGCUCUUCAGAUCCAAAUGGUAUACUAGAAUUCUCUUCCUAACAGUCCACUGUCAAGUCUUCACUGUUAGAAGAAGGAUCACACCAGAAUUGAGGUCAAAUGGAUGAUCUUAUUCUUAAUUGUUGAAAAUCACACCUCAUUGAAAUUUGCUUCAUAACUGAACUAUGAAUUUUUCAUCAGACAUACUUUUGUGUUUCUCCUCAUGGCAUUCUUUAUGAGGAACUUCUUUUUGGAGCUUACUGGCUUUCUGUUCUAAUUUGGUUCAGUUAUUUUCUAGAAUUGCUACAUGACUGUCAUCCUGGGACUUCCUUCUGUUGGAAUCUUGGAGAGCUUACAGCUUUUCAUAUCCUUUCUUCUUUUGUGUUUUUCACCGUGAAGUGUACAAAGUCAAAUGAAUUUCCUAGAAAAACCAGAGAGUUAAUAUUUUGAGUCCUUGUGAUGGGGGGGUCAAGGAAGUGCUGGGUAGAGAAGGGCGGGGUCCCUGGUGAGGGCUCCACCCUCAGGCCUGUACCCACAGACCUAAAUGAGGACCGGCAUUUCUGUUUUCAUGCCCCAAAAGUUGCCUUUUGGCCCACCAGGUGCCCCAUCCUGUACCCACAAGAACUCAAGACCCUAGAAGGCACAGACACAAGUGGCUGGAUGUCAAGAGAGCAGAAGAACACAGUGAAAGACACCAGCAGACAACAUCAGGCAAUAGACAGCAGCAUGAUGUGGAAUUUGGCUGGGGGCAGUUGGAGGAGAGAAUGGCUACUGGGCGACCUGACUCCAGGGGAAGACCACCUUCCCACUCCAUCCCCCUUCGGGCUCCUCAUGCAUCUCAUGAGAGCUACCUCCACCACUCAAUAAAACCUUGCACCCAUCCUCCAA